rnacentral:lncRNA from 1 species
GUUGAUUGGUUUUGUUUACAGAAGAGAUUUUUAAAUUCCUUUGGAUCUAUUACAUUGAUCUUAACAUGCACAUAUCUGUUGGAAAUCCUUUUCAGUUGUGCAGCUGCUUGGAAGCUUACUUCCUCCAAGAUUUUCAGUGUUGUAGUUCGUUAAUAGUAAUCCCAGCACUUGUAUAAAUACCCUCAGCUGUAUUACACUCGAAACAAUCAAUAUUGCAUUUAUGGAAGGAAAGAAUAGCAGCAGUGCUCGGGCCGGCUUACCUUCAAGCUAUAGAGGCGUUCGUAAGAGGAAAUGGGGUAAAUGGGUG